rnacentral:tRNA from 1 species
GGCGGACGUAGCCAAGUGGAUUAAGGCAAUGGAUUGUGAAUC